UUAAGGUAUGUUUGUUAAAAUCAGACUGGAUCAAAUGUAUCAGUUGCAAUUUUAUCACAUAAUGACGUCAAUCAACGCCCGAGAAUUUUAAAAUAUUUUUAUCUAUAUUCUAUAAUGCGUUGUCAGAUAAAGAGAUAUCUGAGAAUGUGUUAAAAAAAUCACACACGUGAGAAUUAGUCUCGUGAGGAGAAUCGUAUUUAUCAACCAUACAAUCUUCAGAAUAUUAGAAAGGUAACCAACAACGGAAGAGAAGGAUUAAAUAAUUUACACGCAAAACAAGAUAUCACUGCGUAGCGGAGAUUAUCUUCCCAAGAAGUUGCAAGCAAUCAGGCCUUUCCAUUUGUGCAGUUACUGAUUGACUUAUAGAAACAUAAGGUCAACAAAAUGGCGGAUUCUUGCCAACAGGUUGUAAAUAUGCCAGCAUAUUAUGGCCUUCUUCAGAUGAAUAGAAACCUGUUUUUGUGUAACAGCGACCAAGAAAGACAACUUAAACCAUAUUCCUUCGAAAAUGUUAAUCUAUACCCAUAUGGAGAUUUAGCAAACAGGCAACCUAGUAUAUUUCAAGAAUCAAAUGCUAUUGCAUCAAACCAAGAUCCAGCUUCCGUGGUGGCUUCCCCAAAUGUCAAAUUGUCAUCACGGGCAAAGCGAACCUUUGUUCCCAAUGAACAAAAAGAUUUAUUUUACUGGAUGAAAAGAUUGAAGAACAAUGUCUCAGCACGCAGGUCAAGGGUCAAAAGAAAAGUUCUUGAACAGUAUAUGGAAAGAAAAUUAGCGGAACUUCAAGCAGAAAAUAAUGACUUAAAAAGAGAAAUUGAUUUCAUUCGGGCACAAUGUGACUGCCAAAAGAAGAAUGCCACAGAUAUCCAACAAAGCAUUCCCAAAACGGAACUCUUUUCAUCGUCGUCAUCGAGGUCCGAAUCAUCAGCCUCAAGCUGUCCUGACAUAUCUGUGAGCGAAUCUUCGUCUAAGGAUAGAGAAUUUUUUACAGAGCGCGAAACGUUAAGCAGUUCAGAUGAAACGGACCCAGAAUUAAGUUGUCCCAUAAAUUUUUCGCCAGACGAACCAGCAGAAAGACAAAAGGUUCCACACAAAAUAAGACUUAAAUUACGCUUACACUCUGCAUUUUCCAAACACCAAGUGUUAAAUUGAUGAAGAAAACUUAUUUAAAAGUCUGAUCAAAGUAAAUGUUGUUCUUAAACUUUUAUGUUAUGUAAUCAAACAAAUGUGUAACCAUAUUAUGACGAUCCAAAUCGUUGUUUAGAACAAAACAUUUAUUGUAAAAACACAAACAUUCUUAACAUUAUGUACCUAUCAUAAAAAAAUGUCUUAUAUUCUGAAAUAAUUAUCAGCCAGUGUCUUGUUUUGCCACAUUAUAGGAUAAAGUUUUCAUUAUGACAAUAUGAAAGUUUAUAAAUACCUAGUCUUUGCAUGCCUCGCUCUUAUAUAUCAUGCUACAUGACAAUUAAUGCUUACAUCCCUUUUUUCAGAUUUUAAAGACAUAAUGAACAAAUAUUUUAACACAUGUAAAGCAUGUAGUAAUUAAGAUACUUUGAAGUUUACAACAAGAGCAAGCUCUACAUGUUAAGUUUGAUAUAAUCGCAUUAAAUUAAUUACAAAUCAUUGUGACUAUUUCCAUAAUCCAUCCUUUAUAUUCGGUGUCAAGUUUCAUUAUGUUGUUAUUUGUUAUUGUUGUUAAUUUUAAAAAUAAUAAAAUUGUUA